UAGAAGAUCUCAUUCCGACUAGCACCGGCAUCUAGAGAGGUUCUCUUUUGUGGCCGCGCAUAUCAAAAUACAUAAUUACAGUAAACAUACCAAAGGCAUGUUCUUUUGAUAUAUUGGGCGUUAAAGGCGGCACAGCAUUGUAAUUAAAUUGACCAUAAAACAUGUAUGAAAUGUAAUUUUAUUAAUCUUUAAAUUAAAAAAACUUUAAAAAUUAAAAAUUAAAAUAUUUAUUAAAAUUUAUUUUCUUGUGAAUUCUUGGUUAGGGAUAUGUCAAUGUGCGGACAUAUCCCAUACUUUUUGCCUUCCAUAAUCUCUUUGAUUUGGACCAGAAUUGUGUCUUGCCGCAUGAGCAGCUGCUGCUGCUGCAUGAGCAUCUGCUCCAUAUUUAUUGUUGUUUGUGGUGGAGCUGACAAAGGGGAAGAUGUGGUGGAGACAGGGGAGGCAGAGGUUGCUGCAUGCAAUGAAAAAACAGCAAAAUAUUUAAAAAUGAUGGCAUCCUUGCUUUUAACUGAAUCUUACCAUUGUGGUCACGCCACCAAUACUUUUUCACAAGGGGCCAGAUGAAAUAUUUUAUGGCUAUCAUCAGUAAGAGGCCGAAAGUGCCUUGCAAGAAUGUUAUUUCUUAUUUUUUUUUCAAAACGUCGGCCACAUCACCAGAAAACUUAUCAGGUAUCUUCAAUCCAUUUCGGUUCACCUUAAGAAAAAUCACACAUAAAAAUUUAUUAUUUUCCUUACAAAAGAAAUACGUGUCUUACCUUUCCCAAAGUAGUUUGGGUUGCCACAUCGUAUUAGUAAACUACAACAUGGAAGAAAAUAAGUAAAGGGGACUAUGGUACAAUGGCAAGUUAACUAAAGUGGAUCUUCAGUCCCGAACCAAAAGAAAGAUUACUUAGACGCUCAUGCAAGAUUAUUUCGAUUAUGAAAAAUGAACUGCCAUAUGUGAGAUGAAAUAUAAUGAGAUGAAAUGAAUGAAUUAUGAAUGAAUGAAAUAUACGACAACAACAAACAAAUACUUUUCAAAAUUUUUAUUUAGAUAAGGAACCUCGAUUGCAAUCCACCUUCAAGAAAAUACACACGGAAUGUUUGAACAUUGAUAUCAUCUUGCAUCUCAGUCGUGUGAUGGCCCCAUCAUUGGGGACUGGCUCCCGGGCAGAUCUUGCUCUUCCUCAAUUUUUCUGGCUAAUUGAGAUAGCACCACCUGCACUUCUUUCUGUAAAUAAUCAACACGAUAAAUUAAAAUGUUUUUUGGGCAAUGAAGGGGGAUUGGGUAAGGUGAUAACUUACCACAGUCAGUGACACCUGCUUGCCUCCUGAAAGCUUGUCUUCUUGAAUUUAAAUUUUGAUCUCUCCUCGUGCUCACACCAACACCUGGCUCUCUUUUGCCUACCAGCUUCGUCAAAAGAGUUUCCCAUUUCGAGAUCAUCCUGCGGUUUCUUUGCAGGUUACUUGAACCCUGCAUGAGAAAAAAGAUUUGGAAAAAAGAUUUUAAAAUUUUUUAAAAUUUAGGGCACAAAUAAGGAUACUUACUCUUUGGUUUUGGCCAAUUGCCAAUCCCAUUUUUCACGCAGGACAUACUGCAACGGGGGCCAAAUUACAGAUUUUGCCACAGCAACAGCAGCCAAACCCAGAAUGCCUUCCCCAGAAUGCCUCCAGUUCUGAAUCCAUUGCUGUUAAAAUUGCUGUUAAAAAACGAGUGCGACUGAUGGGAAGGAGUAACGUCAACGUGGUCGGUGAGAGAAAGAGAAAGAAGCGGGAAGACGAAUGAACAGUCCAAGAUUUUACUUUUAGCCUGCGACGUUUUCAGAUAUGGCAAAGUGAUCUAUUUGAUAAAGAACAUUUCUUAUUUUAUAUUUCGGUCAAAUGGAAGGGUCAUGGACGUUCAGGCCCCUGCUUUCAGGCCCACUUUAAAGUGGGCCUGAACGUCUAGUUGUUGGGCCUGAACGUCCAAAAUUUUAAAUAUUUAUUUUUCAGGACAGUGGCGCUAGUAAGCCUGUUUCCGGCAUGUUUACUUGCAAUUCGGUAGGGCGUACACGCAGCUCUA